CAUAUUACGGGGGGCCGGAUCCAAAGCUUAAGGCUCUUGCUUUACUCUUUGCCCCGCCCUGUCUGAAUAUACCCAUGUUUUUGCGUACUAUUUGUUUCCUUGGUGGGCUUGCCUGCCGAUAGGACAUUAUAAACUCAUUUGCAAUUGCAGUCAGCGUCAGAAAAACUUAAUAAUUACAACUUUCAACAACGGAUCUCUUGGUUCU
rnacentral:misc_RNA from 1 species